rnacentral:rRNA from 1 species
UGGUGCAUGGCCGUUCUUAGUUGGUGGAGCGAUUUGUCUGGUUAAUUCCGAUAACGAACGAGACUCUAGCCUGCUAAAUAGACAGGGAAUCAGUUGUUCUCUGUACUUCUUAGAGGGACAAGCGGCAUCUAGCUGCACGAGACAGAGCAAUAACAGGUCUGUGAUGCCCUUAGAUG